GUAAGAGUGAAAUAAAAAAUAACAUCGCACAUUACAUGCCAACAAGAAGAGAAGAAACUGGAUUUUAGAUAUAAUGUAAUCUAAACUGCUACCUGAGAAAGUGAAUAGAAGAAGGAAACAUAAUUUUUUCCAAAGAAACUUUAGAUAGCUGAAGAGAGAAUUCAUAAAAUAUGAAAUAUGAUUAAAAAUAUAGGAAGAGAAUAAGAGGAGUAAAUUAUGUUACAAUUUAUUUUAUCAUCGCUACAUUUGCAAUUGCAUUUAAUUUUAUUUGUAACCAAUUUAGUUAUAGUGUUCACAUGCAUAGUUCAGAUGAAUAAAUGAACUAAUAAAAAUAUGCAAGCAUAGAAAACAGAGGAAACAUGAAGCUAGUUACUGAAAAGGAACAAAGUUUGAAAAUCUUAGAAAUAUAUUAAUAGUAGAGGAGACAAGAAGCAAGUUACUCGUAGCCAAAAUUUGGCUCGAAGGAUUAUUUCGAGCAAAAUCCCAUCAUAUAUUUGGGCAAUUUGUAGAGUAUAGGUAUGCCAUUUAAUUGGAGAAUUCUAAGGAAUAAUAUUUUUAAGUUCUUUCCGCUGUAAAGAUAUGAGAAGUUCUGAAAACAUCAAAAUUUGCUUUACUAUCGAACAAGCCUUGCCAAUUGACAAAUGAUGUGGCAAAAUAUUAUAAAAGAACAUCAAGAGAAUAUGCAUAACAAUGUAGUGAACUUGAUGUCACGAAUAUUAAUAACCAUAAAAUUUUAUAUCUUUUAGUUUUUAUUUUUAAUAGUGUACUUUAGCCAUUAGUUUAAGCCAAUUUUUACGAUAAAAGAAGUGAGCAUGAGAAAUGUGAGGUAUUUUAUUAUCAGAAGCUCAAUCAUGCUGUAUGAGUUCAAAUAAUCUAAAUGAAGCUCUUCUUUAACAUUCUCACUAAGUGUUUUUUUUUCAAAGAAACCUAAAAGGAAAAUUACGAACUCGACAAUUUCAAGACUAAACGUAUAAUAGCCUUCAACAUUAGUAAUACAAAUGUAAUAACCACAAACAGUUUCAAAAUGCAAUUUGAGUUUGCCUUCUCUUUAUAAUAACAAAUUAAAUCUUACCCAAUAAAUUUUAGGUCAAUUAAAUAAAUUCUUCUCUAAGAAAGGAAACAAAAUAAAGUUCGAUGACUGAUGUCAAAAUUCACCAUAAAUUUAUAUAUAGAGAUAUAAAAAAAUUUCUAAGGAGCACCGGUAACCUAGCAAAUCAAUUAAUUGGUCGAUCUUUUAAUUCUUGGACUUACCAAAAUGUUAAUGUUUUCGAGAUUUAAACCAAAAUAAUAUUAAGAAGAAACUUAUUUAUCUCCACAUUCUAUAGAUAAAGUUAGGUUAGGUAAAAUCUAAUAUGUUCCGAACCAAAGUUUAGUCUGACAAUAUUUGCGAAAAUUAGCAACUGGUUUAUAGUGAAUGGAAGUCUGAUUGCCCAAACUUGAACUAAAGAUAGAAAAUCGAAGAAAAACAAAAUAUUAACUCAUAAACACGAUAAGAAGCACCUACAAAAAUUCCAGCAAUUUAGUACUAAAUUCAAAUCUGCUUAGAAUCAAUACAUGAACCUCAAACAUAGAUUCAAUGUAAAUCACAAACCAAUAAAAAAUUCCUCUUUAGAAAACUUGCUAACAUAUAAGCCUCGUGAAAUCCACCAUAAAAGAGAAGUAAAAAAUAAAAUCAAUUUAUCAAGAAAGAACUAAAAAAUCUAGCACUGUGAACUCAAUAAUCCAUUUGAAAUUCGAAAAAAAAAAUAACAAUAAUACAAUUUUAAUCACAGAAUGCAUAAAUUAAAUUUGAAAAUUAUAUACCUCUUUGUUUAACAUAUAAGCCUCCCGAAAAUUCUCCAUAAUAGAGAAGCAAAAGAUAAAAUCAAUUUAUCAAGAAAGAACUAAAAAAUCUAGCACUGUAAACUCAAUAAUCCAUUUGAAAUUCGAAAAAAAAAAACAAUAACCAAGAUAGACAAUUUUAAUCACAGAAAGCAUAAAUUAAAUUAUAAAAUUAUAUACCUCUCUCUGUUAAUAUUAACACAAAACCUAUCAAUUUCAUGAACUCAAAAUUAGAAGUGUACACAUAAAAAGAUGAAGAAAUCACAAUUAAAUGCAAAAAACCCAUUGGAAAUCACAACGAGAUGAAUUGAAAAAAGCUAGAAAAUAACCCAUUAUACCUGUCGAUUAGAAAUCACAAGAAGAUGAAGAAAACCAAUACAAUCGCAGGAUGAAGAAAUUGCAGUGUAGUCCUCUCUUUCUCAUUUGUUUUACUAUCUUGAGGAAGAAAAUGGAAAAGCAAAGAAAUUGAAGAAAUUGAAGAAAGUAGAAGAGAAUGGGAAAGCAAAAAAGAACGUAAUUUUUCCAUCACAAACGUUACUAACCACAUUAAAGCAACCCACUUCCCAACACACAGCGGGCCCACACAUG
rnacentral:lncRNA from 1 species